rnacentral:rRNA from 1 species
UACUGUUGCCGGUACUGACCGUGGAAACUCUAGGCAGAGGUAAUGUUUAAGAUGUUUUGUAAUUGUAGAGGCAGUGUGGAGAAGCGAGUACGUCCAGCGGCGACCUCGGCCUGUUCUAGUACCGAACGGAAUGGACCACUGUAUGACCGAUCCUUCUCACGUUCGACGCCGGGUGUGCAUGGUCUACCACAGCAGUUCCUACAACAGCAUGACUGACGGCUACUAGAUGUCCUCCUCACGCGCGUCCCCCUCACCGCCCAGUUCCACGAGAGUAGCCGCGGCGACGACUGGCCGUCUAGGUCCGCGUGGGAGAGCCACGCGCGUCCCCCCACUGUCCGGUUCCACGCGAGCGGCUGCGGUGGGUGACUGACCGCCUAGGUCCACGCGGGUGAGACACGCACGUCCCCCCAACUGUCCGGUUCCACGCGAGCGGCCGCGGUGGGUGACUGACCUCUUAGGUCCUCGUGGGUGAUACUGUUGGAGGGCCCGUACUGUAGCGACCUCUUCCACUACCCCCUCGGCGGUUGAACCCGGACGACUUCUUGCUGCUGAAACGUCCUCCCCUACCUCAGCCCCUUCGAGGACACUGCCACCCUCGCCGCCAAGGUGUUGCUCUACCAGCAAGCAGUGGAGACUCAACCUCCUACCGGUUCCGGUUCUAACAAAAAGUGGUGGCUCGACGCCCCUCCACGUUUCGUCAUCGUCCUGCUUGGAAGCGGUAUCGGCCGUCCGACUCAAACAUGAACCAUAAUUUCCUAAACCUCAUCCGAUGUAAACACUACUGCCCUAACCAAUACGUACUAGAUAACCGAUUUAGGAAAACAAAAUAGUACUCCUGUUGUUAUCACCAAUGAAGAGUAGGCUCGAACUCAACACCACUUAAGUUGGCUACAAAGCUGGCGUAUGCUCUACAGCAAGAAAACCAAAUAGUUGAUUAUAAUAGUAUAUACCUGCACUACGGACAUGUCUCCGCAAAACUUAGUCACACCAUCAUCUGAUGGAUAGUAACAACAUUUAAUACACACUAUUGGCAAUACUCUGGCAGG